CGGACGGGUGAGUAACGCGUGGAAAACCUGCCGUAUACUGGGGGAUAACACUUAGAAAUAGGUGCUAAUACCGCAUAAGCGCACAGCUUCGCAUGAAGCGGUGUGAAAAACUCUGGUGGUAUACGAUGGUUCCGCGUCUGAUUAGCUAGUUGGUGGGGUAAUGGCCCACCAAGACGACGAUCAGUAGCCGGACUGAGAGGUUGGCCGGCCACAUUGGGACUGAGACACGGCCCAGACUCCUACGGGAGGCAGCAG
rnacentral:rRNA from 1 species